rnacentral:rRNA from 1 species
AAAGGAAUUGACGGGGACCCGCACAAGCAGUGGAGUAUGUGGUUUAAUUCGAAGCAACGCGAAGAACCUUACCAGGUCUUGACAUCCCGAUGCAAACACUAGAGAUAGUGUCCUUCUUCGGAACAUUGGAGACAGGUGGUGCAUGGUUGUCGUCAGCUCGUGUCGUGAGAUGUUGGGUUAAGUCCCGCAACGAGCGCAACCCUUGAUCUUAGUUGCCAGCAAGUCAAGUUGGGCACUCUAAGGUGACUGCCGGUGACAAACCGGAGGAAGGUGGGGAUGACGUCAAAUCAUCAUGCCCCUUAUGACCUGGGCUACACACGUACUACAAUGGUUGGUACAACGGGAAGCGAAAGAGCGAUCUGGAGCGAAUCCUAUAAAAGCCAAUCUCAGUUCGGAUUGCAGGCUGCAACUCGCCUGCAUGAAGUCGGAAUUGCUAGUAAUCGCGGAUCAGCAUGCCGCGGUGAAUACGUUCCCGGGUCUUGUACACACCGCCCGU